UCUUCCACUGCAAAGAGAAACCCCCGGCCCCACGGCGGGGUUGGUGCGGUGUGGAGGCUCCUGGGAUCCUCCCAACAACGAUUCCCGGAUUAAAUAAAGCCUCGUCGUGGGAUGGGGGAUUUCUUGUCACAGCAGAGCCCACGGGGAUUGAGAAGAGGAAAUUUGGGGGUUUUGUUUCUCGGGGUGAAGUUGGACGGCACCGAGAGCAGGAGGGACCUCUCAGCUCUUCCCAACAGCUCUGGAGCCGACGCAAAGCGAUUCCCCUCGUUCCCGACGCGCCAAAGAGGACGGAAAAAUCCCAGCCACGGAAAAAACAACACCCCAAAACCAAACAAAGCCACAAAGCCCCAGGCUCGCAACAGCCAGGGGGUGUUUUGAGAGGGAUUUGGAUCCUUUCCGGGAUGGAAAUGGGAACGUCGACACUGCGGCUUUGUCCUGGGAGGGUCUGGCCGGGAGCUGUGGCUGAGCCACGAGAGCUGUUUUUUUAAAUCUCGAUCAUUUCUGGGCUGUCUGGAGGAGAAAUCCCAACCCCUCCCAUGGCUGGAGUGAAAUCCUCUGAGUCCCAGUGGCCACCAAGUCCCUGUGGCCACCAGUGAUGGCUCCUGGCCCGCUCAGGGGACGCGGCUGAAGCAGCGGGUGUGAAGCCAAAGCUCUGCAACCUCGCCUGGAGUCCUUGGAAGUUUUGUGGUUUGCAUAGAGACGGGGUGAGGAAAAGGGUGAGGAAAGGGCAGGAAAAGGGUGAGGAAAUUGCAAGGAAAGGGGUGAGGAAAGGGCAGGGAAAGGGUGAGGAAAGGGCAGGAAAAGGGUGAGGAAAGGGCAGGAAAAGGGUGAGGAAAUUGCAAGGAAAGGGGUGAGGAAAGGGCAGGAAAAGGGUGAGGAAAGGGCAGGAAAAGGGUGAGGAAAGGGCAGGGAAAGGGUGAGGAAAGGGCAGGAAAAGGGUGAGGAAAUUGCAAGGAAAGGGUGAGGAAAGGGCAGGAAAAAGGUGAGCAAACUACAAGGAAAAGGGUAAAGAAAGGGCAGGAAAAGGGUGAGGAAAGGGCAGGGAAAGGGGUGAGGAAAAUGGUGAGGAAAGGGCAAGGAAAGAGGUGAGGAAAUUACAAGGAAAGAGGUGAGGAAAGGGCAGGGAAAGGGUGAGGAAAGGGCAGGAAAAGGGGGAGGAAAUUGCAAAGAAGGAGGAGGAAAUUGCAAGGAGAGGAUGAGGAAAGGGCAAGGAAAGGGGUGAGGAAAGGGCAGGAAAAGGGGUGAGGAAAUUGCAAAGAAGGAGGAGGAAAUUCCAAGGAAAGGGGUGAGGA